rnacentral:rRNA from 1 species
GAUGCGACGGCUUACCAUGCAAGUCGAGGGGUAACAGUAUGUAGCAAUACAUAGCUGACGACCGGCGCACGGGUGAGUAACGCGUAUGCAACCUGUCCGUUACAGGGGGAUAGCCCAUGGAAACGUGGAUUAACACUCCAUAAUAUAAUAUAGAGGCAUCUUUGUAUUAUUAAAUAUUUAUAGGUAACGGUUGGGCAUGCGUCCUAUUAGAUAGUUGGGGGGGUAACGGCCCACCAAGUCGAUGAUAGGUAGGGGUUCUGAGAGGAAGGUCCCCCACACUGGUACUGAGACACGGACCAGACUCCUACGGGAGGCAGCAGUGAGGAAUAUUGGUCAAUGGGCGAGAGCCUGAACCAGCCAAGUCGCGUGAGGGAUGACUGCCCUAUGGGUUGUAAACCUCUUUUGUAUGGGGGGAAUAAGCUUUACGAGUAGAGUGAUGACAGUACCAUACGAAUAAGCAUCGGCUAACUCCGUGCCAGCAGCCGCGGUAAUACGGAGGAUGCGAGCGUUAUCCGGAUUUAUUGGGUUUAAAGGGUGCGUAGGCGGCAUUAUAAGUUAGUGGUAAAAUAUUGGGGCUUCACCUCACUACGCCAUUAAUACUGUAGAGCUAGAGAACAGACGAGGUAGGCGGAAUAGUUUCAUGGAUUGGUG